rnacentral:lncRNA from 1 species
GUAUCUGCAAAGAUGAGUUCAUUACAGAAGAAGGAGCAGGGCAGUAAACAAGAGCUUUGAAAGGGGAAGGAAGCCAGGAGAAAGCCAGCUCCAUUAGUCACGCAGCUGCAUAUCCUGUCACAAAGGACCCCAGUUGAGUAAUCGCCCAAAAAUAUGCCUGUUAUUUUUUUUCUGUCAGAAAAAAAUGGGGCCUGCCAAAAUGUACUGUAAAAAAAAAAAAAGAAAAAAUCUGGUCAUUCAGCCCCAGAAGGGGGAAAGAAAAUAAAGAAGAAACAGGCGCGGCUUGGAAGUGUUCUUCCAACUUUUCCCCGCUUGUCUUUGCAAGAAAAAGCUCUCAAACUGCUCAUGGGACCGAGCUUGCAGUGGUGGAGGACAGCUGGCUCCUUGGAGACCCUGCUCCCAGAGUCCUUGCUGUCAUGGGGUGCCCAGAUGUUAAGAAGGCAAUGACAAUGGAAGAAGGCAGCAGGAAGCAAGGGAGAGAGCGAAGAAAGGGAGUCCAGAGAGCAAAUAAGUCUUCUGAAGAUCCUUAUAUGAGGACUUCAGGGCUCCACCGUGAACCUGUGGCAGUCCACACCUGUUCCAAGAGCCCUGAUGAACCCUGGAGGGGCACUGACUUCCGUCCAUCAACCACACCUGCCUCACUGUCCACGGGCAGCUUUUCUAAUGGGCUCAGCAAAACCAACUUUGACUCGGGUCUAAGCCAUCUUUGUGAUGUUUGGGCUACAGAUGGAACGAGAGCAGGCAUAUAAGGAUAUCUGACUUGGGGACAGGCUGAAGAAUUGAGGCUCAAAAUCCAGCAAGGAUACAUGCAUCUCAGCUACUGAGGCAGGAGGAUUAUUUGAGCUUAUGAAUUCAAGGUUCAAAAGGGCUAGGUGUUCUGCAAGGUGGUUCAGUGAGUAAAGGCUUAGCACUAAAACUGAGGACCUGAGUUCCAUCGCCGGGAUCCACAUGGUGAGCAGCCGAGGAGACCUUUGCAGGAACUAGCAUCCAGCUAUGCAGCUACUCCCUCCUCAGCCCAAAGACCAAGCUCGGGUCCCCUGCAGAUUGCUGUAGAAAAAAGCUCAGUUAUAUCAGAACCAGGACUUUCUUCAGCCCUUCCAUUUUUCUGAUCCUGUCUGAGGUAUCCACUCUGACCAAAGCCUGCUCUGAGAGGAGAGUACAUGGGGG